UUUUGCUUCGAAAUAUGGGAACACUGAUUGUUCCAAUAAUUUCUAGCGCCAGACUAUAUGUACUAUGUAUGAGAUUUCAAUGAAUCUCUUUCUCUUUUUCUGCUGAUGCUGACCAACGACGAGGAGCUCACGUUGCAGAUACCAUGAUCUUUCUCUACAUUCAUAAUCCCCAUUUCUUCUGCAGUUAUGGCAAAUUGGCAAAAACUACAAAACCAAGCCAAGUUUUAGUAACAAUGGGACAUUGAAUUGUAUGCCUAGGAUACCUAUGAUCACUUGAUCAGUUGUCUUGUCACCGUUCUUAGAUGUCCAACAAAAGGCUGCCAAUGCCAAAUUCACUCGGAUGGAUUAUUCAAAAAUAAAGGAUAUGAUCAGUUGUUGUCUUGUCACCGUUCUUUGAUGUCCGAUUGUCCGACAAUACCUAGGCUGUCAAAUUCAUUCUGAUAGGAUAUGAUCAGUUGUCUUGUCACCGUUCUUUAAUGCCCGUCUAUAGGCUGCCAAAUUCACUCGAAUGGAUUAUUCAAAAAUAAAGGAUAUGAUCAGUUGUUGUCUUGUCACCGUUCUUUGAUGUCCGAUUGUCCGACAAUACCUAGGCUGUCAAAUUCAUUCUGAUAGGAUAUGAUCAGUUGUCUUGUCACCGUUCUUUAAUGCCCGUCUAUAGGCUGCCAAAUUCACUCGAAUGGAUUAUUCAAAAAUAAAGGAUAUGAUCAGUUGUCUUGUCACCGUUCUUUAAUAUCCAACAAUAGGCUGCCAAAUUCACUCGAAUGGAUUAUUCAAAAUAAAAGUUUUCGUCGCGCCUUGAAUAUAUUAUCAGCUGUCCGCUGUUUCCUUCGGAAUUCGGAAAUGAGUCAUCAUAUACGUUUCAUCAUUCUUUAAAGAUUUCGAAUUCACUCGGAUUAUUGAAAAUCAAGGUUCGUUAGUUCAAUCGAGCAGCCUUCAAUCCAGUCUCUAUAUCGAUAGUGAAGAAGAUACCAGUAUCUUGCAGUAAUUAAAGAAUUAAGAAGUUUGAUAAUUCGGUAAAUACUUUUCAACUUUAUAUUUCAAUCGAGUACUAGGCGAUAAUUUUUUAGACGAUUAGAUUGUAGAUAGCGUAAUUUAUGAUUUCGUGUGUAUUUUAUCAUCGUUCCAAUGUUUUUAUUCGUUCAUGUUUGAGUCAUUUUCGUGUUUCGAGUGAUAGGGAUCCAAGUUUUGUGAAUAUUAGUUCACCUAU